rnacentral:rRNA from 1 species
CUACGGGGUGCUCCAGUGGGGAAUAUUGCACAAUGGGGGGAACCCUGAUGCAGCAACGCCGCGUGGAGGAUGACACAUUUCGGUGCGUAAACUCCUUUUAUAUAAGAAGAUAAUGACGGUAUUAUAUGAAUAAGCACCGGCUAACUCCGUGCCAGCAGCCGCGGUAAUACGGGGGGUGCAAGCGUUACUCGGAAUCACUGGGCGUAAAGAGCAUGUAGGCGGGUAGAAAAGUUGGAAGUGAAAUCCUAUGGCUUAACCAUAGAACUGCUUCCAAAACUCUUUACCUAGAAUAUGGGAGAGGUAGAUGGAAUUUCUGGUGUAGGGGUAAAAUCCGUAGAGAUCAGAAGGAAUACCGAUUGCGAAGGCGAUCUACUAGAACAUUAUUGACGCUGAGACGCGAAAGCGUGGGGAGCAAACAGGAUUAGAUACCCCUGUAGUC